UAAUUUUAUCGUGACAUGGUAGAAAUGAUGAGCUUGUUUUUUUUAUCUUCUUCCAGACAAAAACGAUACAAAGAAAGGAAAGAAGUGGUGGAGAAGAGCCUCUAAAAAGGAGAGUGAGGGGAAGAAUAGUGACAGUAACAGUGAGGCUGAGUCAAGAAAUAAAUGGUGGAAGAUUUUCAGAAAGAAGCAGUCACAAGAGAAAGGACAUGGAAAGCAAGAAGAGAAAAUCACUACAGAUUCGAGAACAAAAUGGUGGAAGAGGGGCAGCAAGAGUGAGAAGACUCAGGAUGGAAUGGAUGAUAAGACAAAUGGCAAGAGCAGAGGACGGUGCAUCUGUAUGUGAAGAAGAUGCCUACACUACAUCUUGAGAUAGACAGCAGUUAUUCAAGAUGUGUUCAAGUAGUCUUAGAAGACAACUUGAGUCAGCUUUUAUGAUGGUUACUUUCUGUACUGUGUAGAUGAGACUAUUUUAUUUAUUUCUUAUUUAUUCGGGAGCAACAGCACACACUCUUAAAGACACAUGGACAUGGUGCUUUUAACUGUAAAUACUCUGAUAUUGUGUCAUAUACCUUGUUCCUUCCAUGCAGUUAUAUUAUUAGGGACAGGUAGCAAAUACACAGACAAAUGAUGGAAACAGCAUAUAUCUUGACUACCGAUUUAAUGUCGUAUUGGAAGGAUUUUACUUCAAUACCUGAAAGGAUUUUAACACCAAAACAGCUAAUGCAAAAUAUAUCUAUUUUUGUAUGCUUUUUAAGAAUUUUAAAAACAAAGCAAUAUUUAUAUGUCCUUGAAGGAUGAUGAUGGUCAAGACUUUUAUACUGCAAAAUGCAGUUCUGAUGACACAACAUGUCCACCUCAGAAUAAAAUUUUU